rnacentral:rRNA from 1 species
UUAUGGCUCAGGAUGAACGCUAGCGGCAGGCUUAACACAUGCAAGGUCGAGGGGCAACGCGAGUAGCAAUACUUGGCGGCGACCGGCGCAAGGGUGCGUAACGCGUGAGCAACAUGCCCGUAUCAGGGGGAUAAUCCAGGGAAACUUGGUCUAAUACCCCAUAGUAAUUUUGUAAGGCAUCUUAUAAGAUUUAAAGCUUUGGUGGAUACGGAUUGGCUCGCGUGACAUUAGCUGGAUGGUAAGGUAACGGCUUACCAUGGCUAUGAUGUCUAGGGGUUCUGAGAGGAAGGUCCCCCCACACUGGAACUGAGACACGGUCCAGACUCCUACGGGAGGCAGCAGUGAGGAAUAUUGGACAAUGGAUGGAAAUCUGAUCCAGCCAUGCCGCGUGAAGGAAAGAAGGUCCUAUGGAUUGUAAACUUCUUUUGUAUGGGAGCAAUAAGGCCUACGUGUAGGUUGAUGAGAGUACCAUACGAAUAAGCACCGGCUAACUCCGUGCCAGCAGCGGC